rnacentral:lncRNA from 1 species
UUGAAACCAUAUCAUUAUAUAUAUAUAAGACUUCAUAGUGCCAUCAGUAGGUGAUGACCGAUGAGAGACUUUUGUCUCCCCUCUUAUCUAUUUGACAUGAAUUUUCAUGUUCCCCUCCAUCCUUGGUGUAGAAUGCCCAAAUUGCCUGGGCCCAUUUUAACCUAAAUUCCAAACUCAACUACCCAUUUAACCCAUCCUCAAACCCAACCCAAACCUAAACCCACUAAGCCCAAAUCACAACCCAAAACCAGCCCAAUACCUAAAACAAAAAAUAAAACAAAAUCAGAAAACCC